UUUGCGGCGAGAAGAGCAAUCAAGAUAAUCCAAGGGUAUUUGACCCACGGAAUUCACAGGAAAAUUUAAACCGACAAGGUAAGACAUUAAAGCUGCAAUAUCUGCUUGUUGUAUAUCAAUACGUUUUAUCUCCGUCAAAUUCCAUGGCAAAGAAUACUCGUCAUGCCCAUAAUUCUUCUCAUGAGUAGGACUUUGAAUACCAGCACCCCAGGCAAUGAUGGGAGUACGUGUAUUAUCAAGGUUGCCAUCACCAUGACUUCCAAAGUCACUCAUACCAUGGUCUGCUGUAAAAACCCAGCUAGAGGCUCCGUCGUUAUUGUAGUAGUUGUUCAUCUUAUCAACGAGUUCUUGAAUUUUUCCAUCUAUAUACUGUAUGUUUUCGACAUAUUCAACUGAGUCAGGGUGUUUAUUAUGGCCAAUUGUGUCAAUGCCCAGUAAAUGAAGGAAGAAUACUAUUUUAUCCCGAUGCAACAUAUCCCAAAGUUCCUUAUCCUCUAAAGACUGAGCGAGAAGUUCAUCUAGCCUAUCAAAAACCCAUUCGUCAAGAACAAUUCCGUUGCUAGAGAAAUCCUCCAAUUCAGAAGAAUACAUGAAUGUAUCAACUCGAGAUGGAUCAGAUGCACCUUCACUAAACAUAGGCAAAAUAUCUUCGGAUCCAAACGAAUAAGUAUGCCGACUCUGAUUAAACACAGAAUCGAAAUUUACUGGAUUUUUUUUCCAGCCUUUUGUGACGGCUGAAACAUCUUCGUAAAAACCAGCUAUUAGAGCAACAUGUCCGGGGCGUGACUCGGUGGGAACACGAGUAUGAGAAACACCGAAAGUACCGUUAUUCUGAAUAAUUGAUCUUAAAAAUGGAGCGGCAUAUGUCUGCUCUUCUCCAAUGACCUUUUCGGAAUGUGGUUGUAAUAGUUUAUCAGGACGUAGUCCAUCGCCUAUAAGCAUAUUGGUUAGUAAAAUAAGAAAAAGAAGGACAAGAAAAAAGUUGUACUAUUUCUUGUUUUUUUUUCUAAAUCCAAAACGAAAAUAUGACAUUUUUUUCAUUAAGCUCUAUACACUAAUUUCACUAUUACAAAUGUUUACUUACCAACAAUUAGAAAUAGGCGUUUAGCAGGAGCUUCGCCUGCAGAAUACUGCUUCAUGCCAUGUAUUAGAGGAGUUACGAAAUAGAUAUCAAAAAUGGAUUUGAGAAAGACGACAUGGAAUAAAAUCCCUAACAGCAAGAGGCGACCAAACAUUGCGAAAAUUUAAGCGUGAAACCACUACCACAAUUGACUGGGAAUACUAGGGGUUUUUGGCAAAAAUUGGAUAGAUGCCAGGACGCUUCUUGGAAAAGAAGGAUGCCCUAAACAAGGCAAGAAGUGUUUUGUUCUGGUGAAGUGCGUUUGAGUGUUGAGUCGUUACAAACAUCAACAGAAGUCCCCUUUAAUCUACCAUUGGUUAAAAUUCAGAUGAUCUACGCUCGAUCUAAUGAAUAAGCGAACGCUAAUGAAUGUAUACUGAGUUUUGUAAUUAAGGAUGCCGUGUUUGAAUGCACUAAUGAAUAGUGGUAGCGCUCCAUCGUAUAUUGUGAGCUAUGGCCAAUAUGCGUAAUUAGUUCUAGCUGGAUGAAAGAGUAAAUAAUCAGAAAUCUAUUAAGGAAGUGAUAAAUUACUUUAUGGUAUGCAGUGCACAAUAAUGGGACUUAUAGUCAUCUGGUAAUUAAGCAAAAAAUGAUUCUGUAAAUGGAUAUUUUCGGUAUUAUUUUAAUUUCCGUUGACAGAAAUGUAAAAUGGAUGGUUAUCAUUUCAUUGCUCAAAUCCAAGAUUAAUGAAAAUUCAGCGGUAAGCAUAUUUGGUUGUUACACGUUGAGAGUCGGUUUACUCAUGACGAUUAUAAUAAGAUAAAGGGAUACAACCAUCAAAUUGCUGCUACAUGGCCAAUAAUAAAAAAAUCAUUUGCAAUACGAAAGGAAACGAAUUCAUUUAUUAUAACAUGCAGAAGUAAUAACUUCCUGCGAC